GCAGUCGAACGGUAGCAGGCCUUCGGGCGCUGACGAGUGGCGGACGGGUGAGUAACGCGUAGGAAUCUGCCUGUUAGUGGGGGACAACGUGGGGAAACCCACGCUAAUACCGCAUACGCCCUACGGGGGAAAGCGGGGGCUCUUCGGACCUCGCGCUAACAGAUGAGCCUGCGUUAGAUUAGCUAGUUGGUAGGGUAAAAGCCUACCAAGGCGACGAUCUAUAGCUGGUCUGAGAGGACGAUCAGCCACACUGGGACUGAGACACGGCCCAGACUCCUACGGGAGGCAGCAGUGGGGAAUAUUGGACAAUGGGCGCAAGCCUGAUCCAGCAAUACCGCGUGUGUGAAGAAGGCCCUAGGGUUGUAAAGCACUUUCAAUUGGGAGGAAAACCUGCCGGCCAAUACCCGGUAGCUUGACAUUACCUUUAGAAGAAGCACCGGCUAACUCCGUGCCAGCAGCCGCGGUAAUACGGAGGGUGCGAGCGUUAAUCGGAAUUACUGGGCGUAAAGCGUGCGUAGGCGGUUCGUUAAGUCAGAUGUGAAAGCCCUGGGCUCAACCUGGGAACUGCAUUUGAAACUGGCGAACUAGAGUUGAGUAGAGGGGGAGUGGAAUUUCAGGUGUAGCGGUGAAAUGCGUAGAUAUCUGAAGGAACACCAGUGGCGAAGGCGACUCCCUGGACUCAAACUGACGCUGAGGUACGAAAGCGUGGGUAGCAAACAGGAUUAGAUACCCUGGUAGUCCACGCCGUAAACGAUGUCAACUAGCCGUUGGUCCUAUUUACAGGAUUAGUGGCGCAGCUAACGCAUUAAGUGACCGC
rnacentral:rRNA from 1 species